rnacentral:lncRNA from 1 species
CGGGAACCCGGCCCGGCCGUACCCCGCCGGCCUGCCGACCCGGGUCCGGGGGCCCAGUUGGCGCCCGGACCAGCUCUCCGGUCUGCGUCCUGUAGAUGGGAAAACUGAGGCCUGAGAGGGCGCGAGGGCGGGGACGAGGCCGAGGACUCGGGUUCGAAUCUCGAGGACGCCAGUAGCCCGCUCUGAGGCCGCGUGGGGCUGGUGGAGGAGCCACCGGUCGGGCCCCCAAGACCGGCUGACGUGGGCCUCGCCUCGGGCGACUCCCGCCGGGCUAGUGGCUGGCCGUGUGGUGACCUUGGGCGAGUUACUUCGCACAGCCACCCAGGGGCCUCUUCUCCAACACGAUAGCACUGCACCCGGAGGGCCUUCAGACCUGAGCUGAAAUCUACACCACCGGCUCUCUGACUAUCAGGCUUUGGACUAUACUUUGGGCUUUCCUGGGUCUCUUACCUGGCAGACAGCAGAUUUUGGAACUUUUCAGCCUCCAUAAUCAUAUUCUACUGGAACUUCUAGCAGGCAAACUCACCUAGUGCUCUCUGGAAGGUGAUGUGGGUGGAACUCUGUCUGAUUCCAAUGUCUAGAUGCCAAUGAGCUCUCCACCAUCACCCCAGAGACAGGGGAAAGAAGAUAUAAGUAGACCUGGGCCUGUCUUCAUUCACUCUCAGUGAGCACACGGCAGGCAUUCAAGAAAUAUAGAGGCUGAAUUACAUUUUUUUUGAGGGUCUAAACUUUGCCCUCUGUGACUAGGUGUCAUUUGAUAUGGCAAUGAGAAUACAGAGCAGAGAUACUCAAACUCAGGAACCAAAAGAAUCAUCUGAAGAUAACUGUUAAAAUGCAGAUUCUAGGGUCCUCCCUCCAGAGAUUCCGAUUCAGUGGGGCCCAGGAGACAUUUUCAAUUAUACCCUCAGAUUAUUCUGACACAAGUCAAUCACAGAGCACAUGGCUACUUGUGACAAAAUCACAGCCAAGCUAGGUUGAGAUAGUUUGCCUAGACUCUGAUGUGGGUUGUUCCCAAACAUCCCCACUAAUGUUUAUAAUUCCUUUUCCUUAUGGGAGGGAGAGGCCAGUGAUGUGUUGGCAAAUGUUUAAUAACUGGAUCUCUGGUGGAAAAGAAAAAAAAUCCCUGAUUUGCAGCAUUUGCCAAUACCCAUGGUGUAAAUACUCUCACCGUGGCUGAUAGCAAGCUACCAACAGUAGCUUGUUAAGACUGAAUUGGGAAGAGAUGCACAUCAUUGGCCUUUGCAGGUCAGUAGGAGUCAGCUCCAGCAAUCAUUGGAGGGAGGCUGAAUAGGAGAGGAGAGGACUUACCUCCCUGGGCCUCAGUUUUCCCACUUAUAAAAUGAGAAUUCAUGAAGGUUCUGAUCUGUGACUCGAGACUAAUUUUAGGCCUUAGCUCAGGGGCCAUGUGGCCAAAGGAGGUGGUCAGGUUGCCAGGGCACUCAGGGAUGAGGAGGCAGAGUGGGUCAGCUCUGCUUCCUCCUCCCUUCUUGGAGAGGGUGGAGGAGCCCACAACCGGGUGAACAGAGGAGGGGCCUUGGAGUUGGUCCUGCCUCAAAUCUUGAACCAGAUGCUUACUAAAUUUCUGAGAGCCUGUUUCCCUAUCUAUAAACUGGGAAAAUACUACUGUACCUACCCCAUAGAGUGGUUACAAGAAUUAAAUGAGACAAAGUCUGGCAUGUGGUAAGGUUUCUGUAAACAUUAAUCUUUCUUCUUGUGACCAUUUCUUCCCCUGCCCAUGACAUUUAUUUCCCAAAUUCUGCCAGAGCCUGGUUAGACCAGUGGGCCAAUUUCAUUCAUAAGCAGAGUAGUAGGUCACCCAUCACUGUGCAAUUUGAGGUAAAGGUCCUUCAGGCAAAAAAUUAUAUGUGUAUACACACACACACACACACAGAUAUGUGUACAUAUAUUCUCCCACUGGUCUGUCAUAGACUCUGAACUUCCACUAUUUAAAUCUUUAUCAAUGCUCCAUAGCAAAAGACCACCAGGAACACACCCGUAGUCAAAGUUGGUAUUACUACAUGCUGCACAAAGGACAUAACACACCUUGGAGACCAUGGGGCAGCUCAGAAAGAGAGUACCAGGAGAGUUUUUCUCUGGGCCAGGUGCUGUCAGGGAGCAGUGGCAAUUCAGUGAUUAGGCAUUUUAAUUAUUUUUAUCUAAGAGGGGGACGAAUGGAAUGUGGCUAAGGCUGUCAUUGGUAAAGAAAUCACCACACUCAUGUUGACCAGGAGAGGGGGCUGUUUGGUAGUUUUAACGAUUUUGCAGUGUUCUUUUUUUUUCGGUUGUUGUUGUUGUUGUUGUUUUGUUUU